UUAUGACCUGGGCUACACACGUGCUACAAUGGGCGGUACAAAGGGUCGCGAACCCGCGAGGGGGAGCCAAUCCCAAAAAGCCGCUCUCAGUUCGGAUUGCAGGCUGCAACUCGCCUGCAUGAAGCCGGAAUCGCUAGUAAUCGCGGAUCAGCAUGCCGCGGUGAAUACGUUCCCGGGCCUU
rnacentral:rRNA from 1 species